rnacentral:ncRNA from 2 species
CACAACAAAAGCUGCAAAGGUGCUCCGAACCGGAAAGGCAAGGGGCUGAAACGGGAAUGGGGAAGGGCGGACCAAAUCGCGGCGCCCCCACCCCAGCCGCCCCCGCGACUGUCAGCGGAGAGCGGCCAUCCAAAAUGCCACUGGCCACUCACCGGGCCGGGAAGGUGGAUGGUCGUGUCGACCCGCAAGCCAGGAGACCGGCCUUGCCAAAUGUAACCCA